GAAAUUCUUCGGGGCAGGGUGUAAUUCCCUACCGGCGGUAUAGUCCGCGACCCACAGUAAAAGUGGCUGAAUUGGUGAGAUUCCAAUACCGACAGUAAAGUCUGGAUGAGAGAAGAAAAAU
rfam:Robinsoniella sp. RHS robin_c50, whole genome shotgun sequence.